rnacentral:rRNA from 1 species
AACGAACGCUGGCGGCAUGCCUAACACAUGCAAGUCGAACGAGACCUUGGGGCCUAGUGCCGCAGGGGUGGGUAACGGGUGGAAACCUGCCCUAAGGUUCGGAAUAACCCCCCGAAAGGGGGGCUAAAACCGGAAAAUGUCUCGGGCCCAAAGAUUUUUCGCCUUUGGAUGGGCCCGCGUUGGAUUAGCUAGUUGGUAGGGUAAAAGCCUACCAAGGCGACGAUCCAUAGCUGGUCUGAGAGGAUGAUCAGCCACACUGGGACUGAGACACGGCCCAGACUCCUACGGGAGGCAGCAGUGGGGAAUAUUGGACAAUGGGCGAAAGCCUGAUCCAGCAAUGCCGCGUGAGUGAUGAAGGCCUUAGGGUUGUAAAGCUCUUUUACCCGGGAUGAUAAUGACAGUACCGGGAGAAUAAGCUCCGGCUAACUCCGUG